AAUGUAAAAACAUUUAAGGAUGUGAAAGGUUGUGAUGAUGCAAAGCAAGAACUUGAGGAAGUAGUAGAGUACCUAAAAAAUCCAGCUAAUGUUCAUAUUUCUACUCUACAUGCAUAGGCUUCUUUUUUCCUAGUUUGUUGGAGUUGGUGCUCGACGUGUAAGAUCCUUAUUUAAGCAGCCAAAAAGAAGAACUGACCGCCACCACUGGAGUCACAUGCCACAAACUAGAAAGAGAGAUGUUGCUCUGCUACUGUUCCGAAAGAGAUCAGAAACCAGAAAAUGGGUGAAGUUCGGGUGAGUCUGUUAAGAAGAAAGAAAGGAGAAGAAGAAAGAAAGGAAAAAAUAAAAUAAAAUUAAAAGGUAGCUAAACACGUCGUCUCAACUUCCACGUGGACCACUCAAGUCUGCGUCAGUAAACUAACGUGUCAAGUAUGCACCGUUAGUUCAUCCGUUAGAUGAGAUUUAACAGAAAGACAAACGUGGCCUGUUUUUUGUUAUUUAAAAGACCAAUAUAUCCCUUUUUUAUUGUUAGAGACUGAAAGAGGCUUCGUGAAUAUUAAGAGACUAAAAAAUGUAUUUACUCUUUUUCUUAUCUCCUUUUGCCCUUCAAAAGAUUGUUAAGUUGGGCUGGAUGCUGCUCUCUCUUUUUUAAUUUGGGUUCUGUAAACUUUGCACUC